GUGGUGUGAUAGGUCAGGGCAUUUGGCUGUUAACCAGAAGGUUGGUGGUUCAAGCCCACCCAGAGACU